rnacentral:rRNA from 1 species
UACGGAGGGAGCUAGCGUUGUUCGGAUAUACUGGGCGUAAAGCGCACGUAGGCGGCGCCGUAAGUCAGGGGUGAAAUCCUGGAGCUCAACUCCAGAACUGCCUUUGAUACUGAGGAUCUUGAGUACGGGAGAGGUGAGUGGAACUGCGAGUGUAGAGGUGAAAUUCGUAGAUAUUCGCAAGAACACCAGUGGCGAAGGCGGCUCACUGGCCCGUAACUGACGCUGAGGCACGAAAGCGUGGGGAGCAAACAGG